rnacentral:rRNA from 1 species
UACGUAGGGGGCAAGCGUUGUCCGGAAUCAUUGGGCGUAAAGCGCGCGCAGGCGGUCCUUUAAGUCCGAUGUGAAAGCCCACGGCUCAACCGUGGAGGGUCAUUGGAAACUGGGGGACUUGAGUGCAGGAGAGAAGAGUGGAAUUCCACGUGUAGCGGUGAAAUGCGUAGAGAUGUGGAGGAACACCAGUGGCGAAGGCGACUCUUUGGCCUGUAACUGACGCUGAGGCGCGAAAGCGUGGGGAGCAAACAGG